rnacentral:rRNA from 1 species
UACAGAGGUGGCAAGCGUUGUCCGGAAUCAUUGGGCGUAAAGCGCGUGUAGGCGGUUCGGUAAGUCCGCUGUGAAAGUCGGGGGCUCAACCCUCGGAUGCCGGUGGAUACUGUCGGGCUAGAGUGCGGAAGAGGCGAGUGGAAUUCCUGGUGUAGCGGUGAAAUGCGCAGAUAUCAGGAGGAACACCGGUGGCGAAGGCGGAUCUCUGGGCCUUACCUGACGCUCAGGUGCGAAAGCUAGGGGAGCGAACGGG